rnacentral:rRNA from 1 species
UACGGGGGGGGCAAGCGUUGUUCGGAAUUACUGGGCGUAAAGGGCUCGUAGGCGGCCCACUAAGUCAGACGUGAAAUCCCUCAGCUUAACUGGGGAACUGCGUCUGAUACUGGAUGGCUUGGAUUCGGGAGAGGAAUGCGGAAUUCCAGGUGUAGCGGUGAAAUGCGUAGAUAUCUGGAGGAACACCGGUGGCGAAGGCGGCAUUCUGGACCGAUAUUGACGCUGAGGAGCGAAAGCCAGGGGAGCAAACGGG